GACGAACGCUGGCGGCGUGCUUAACACAUGCAAGUCGAACGGAAAGGCCCUGCUUUUGUGGGGUGCUCGAGUGGCGAACGGGUGAGUAACACGUGAGUAACCUGCCCUUGACUUUGGGAUAACUUCAGGAAACUGGGGCUAAUACCGGAUAGGAGCUCCUGCUGCAUGGUGGGGGUUGGAAAGUUUCGGCGGUUGGGGAUGGACUCGCGGCUUAUCAGCUUGUUGGUGGGGUAGUGACUUACCAAGGCUUUGACGGGUAGCCGGCCUGAGAGGGUGACCGGCCACAUUGGGACUGAGAUACGGCCCAGACUCCUACGGGAGGCAGCAGUGGGGAAUAUUGCACAAUGGGCGGAAGCCUGAUGCAGCAACGCCGCGUGCGGGAUGACGGCCUUCGGGUUGUAAACCGCUUUCGCCUGUGACGAAGCGUGAGUGACAGUAAUGGGUAAAGAAGCACCGGCUAACUACGUG
rnacentral:rRNA from 1 species